rnacentral:lncRNA from 1 species
UAAAAUAAAAUAAAAAAUAAAUGUCGCAUAUUGGGUAGCAUAUGCGACCAGGCGCUCGCAUAUGCGACCCCAGGCAUCGCCUGGCCGCCUGAAAAAGCUUGCUUGACACAUAGAAUAAUCUUCUUGGGAUGGGCUGAAAACUCGAAGAGCAGUGGGAAACAAAGGUAGUCGUCACUCGAAUUUGUACUUUUACAGUUUUACAUGGAAUAUGGUAUAAAACACAGUAUUAGUUUUCUAUUUUACACAGUACAUCACGAAACAUAAGUAAUUUAUUUUUUACACAAUACAUAGCAUACAAUUAUACAUCAUGAAAGAUAUAUUUGUAUUUAUCUAACUGUUGUUUUAAUAUUUUUCUUCUUAUUAUAAAAGAAAUAGCCAAAGAUGAUGAAAAAAAACAUAAAAAACAUGCAAAGCGUAUCAUAGCAAAAGAAGAGCGACUCAAAGUUCGUCCACCUCGCUUGAGAAAAUACAAGUAAUCUACUCAAUCUAAAUUUUCCAAAUCCCUUUUGAAACUGUUGGUCUUACAUCAUCCAUGCUUUUGUCUUAAAAUGUAUUUUCUCUUUCUGCUGUUAUUAACUAAAUGAUAUGAACAUAUUCCUUAUGUAUUUCUGUUAGGCGGUGGUCCGCUCUUUCCAUAUUCCCUAUGUAUCUCUUUUCAUGUGUUUAAACUUUAAACUAGUUAUUAACCUAUUAUUGUAAUUAAAUGACGUUGAUUUGAAUUAUUUAUUAAAUGCAUG